GACAGCGUGUCCGAGGUGUUAAGGAGGUGAACCCGAGACCCACUAGGCUAAGCCUGCGCAGGUUCGAAUCCUGCCGCUGUCG
rfam:Perkinsus marinus ATCC 50983 gcontig_1104296585932, whole genome shotgun sequence.